UCAGAGAAGUCUUCACACAUUUGCAGUAGACAGCCCACUAACUCACCGAUGGGUUUGAGACCCCUCGGUUACCCUCAACCUGGUUUAGCCCAGACUCUGAGAUGGUUUAUCAGGGCGGGGUGGUGGUGGUGGCUGCUGCUCAUGCUAGAAACGACAGCUGGCUGGCAGGUGGACACCAAAAGUGGAUGGCUCUCCUGAACGCCCAGAGCCCGAGACACACCAGGAGCCUUUUGAUCUGGAGCCCAUGUCCAGAGAGGUUUCAUCUUUUGGACCUAUUUCAGGGCCCUCUUCUCUUGCAGGGGAUUCCAUCUUUUUAUUCUGGAAAGUAAAAGUUCCGUUUGCUUUUUGUUUCAGAUUACAAGGAGGCCAUUUGGGUCUGUUUGAACUUUAAAUGAGGGUCUGAAGUAGGAAAGCGACUUCAAAGGUGGAGAGCUUUCCCAGGAGGCCUUCCUUCCUUUCUCAUCUGGCCCACCAUUGGCUCCAUCUGCCCAGAAUCGGAGGCCAUCUCUGGGAGUCCCAGAUCACCUUCCACAAGAACAUUUCAAGGGGAGAGGGAAAAAGGAAAAGGGUUCAGAGUUCAGAAGACACGUGGAUGGGUGCACCAAAGUGGACACGGACAGGCCAGGUGCCCGAGGUGUCACCCCACCUCUUCCUCAGCCAGCAGCCGGUGCCAAUUCAAGUUCUCACUUGGCCCCCAAGAGGAAAUACGAGGAUGAGCCUCCCCUUCUCCUCUGAGGAGAUGGCAGCUGUGGGUGUGGACUGUGGUGUGCUCAUUUGGCUGAAUCGUUUUCUCCUCUUUUCUGUUUGUUAUAGGCGACAGCUCCCUGGGAAGGGCGGGGGGAGGGACACAUUGGCAAAUGGAGGGGUUGGAAAACAAAAGGCAUCAAUAAGAAAUGAAGAAAAAGCCCUGCUUGGGGAAGGUCCACGGGCUUCGUGGGAGUCGUUCAGGAGCGUCUGGGAACGCGCGCGCGGCUUUGCCUCCUCUGAGGGAGGAGAGGCGCCCCUCAAAACCACGAAGGCUGUUGGUCCAUCCGGGAGCUGCCAGCUUAGAAGACAUUUCGGGGUCUCCUGGCCACUGAGCUCGAAGAUCUGACGUUGCGAUGGAGAAACUGAGGCCAGUGACUUGUCCGAGGACAGAGAGGCAGAAAGUGGCGGGGGCCAGGUCUUCGCAUCCCUCCUGCACACUGCGCUGGGCCUUCAGGGGACGCAGAGAUGAAGACCCUUCGCUCAGGGACUCAGGAAGGAAGAGAAGCCGUCGCGCGUCGUUCCGACACCAAGGACGGGCUUGGCUGCGCGUACACGUCUUUCAUGCCCUCCGUGCUGCCACCGAGCUGGCUGGAGCUAAUUCUGCCCACUUGGCCUUCAUUCCCAGCUCCCCUGCCUUUGUGCCUCCCUCCUUCGCCCCCCCCCCCCCGAGCGCACCGAGCCUCACAUCUGCCUCCCAGAGCACCCAACCCCUCGCCAAGCUCUGCUCCGCUCCGCUGUCAUCGUCCAGGCUGCAGACGCUUACCGGCUGUGUGACUCUGGGCGGGUCAUUGAACAGCUGUCUGCCUUGGUUUCCUUAUCUGUGAAGUGGGGAUAAUAAUAGCACCUACUUCCCUGAGUUGUUGUGAGGAUCAAACACUAGUGACAUUAAAUAAUAAUAAGGUAAAGCUCUUAGCGCGGAGCUUGGCAUAUAGUAGGUGCUUAAUAAAUGCACAUUCCCUUCUUCCCCCGUC